CCUACGGGAGGCAGCAGUGGGGGAUAUUGCACAAUGGGGGGAACCCUGAUGCAGCGACGCCGCGUGGGUGAAGGAGUGCUUCGGCAUGUAAAGCCCUAUCGGCAGGGAAGAAGCAAGACGGUACCGGACGAAGAAGCCCCGGCGAACUACGUGCCAGCAGCCGCGGUAAUACGGAGGGGGCGAGCAUUAUCCGGAUCCACUGGGUGGAAAGGGAGCGUAGACGGCCAAGCAAGCCAGGGGUGAAAGCCCGGGGCCCAACCCCGGGACUGCCCUUGUAACUGCAUGGCUGGAGUGCGGGAGGGCCAGGCGUCAUUCCUGGUGUAGCGGUGCAUUGCGUCGCUCUCCGGA
rnacentral:rRNA from 1 species